GACGAACGCUGGCGGCGUGCCUAACACAUGCAAGUCGAACGCAGUUGCGAACGGGUGAGUAACGCGUAGGUAACUGCCUGGUAGCGGGGGGUAACUAUUGGAAACGAUAGCUAAUACCGCAGACUACCAGAUGGACCUGCGUUGUGUUAGCUGGUUGGUGGGGCAACGGCUCACCAAGGCAACGAUACAUAGCCGGCCUGGGAGGGUGGACUGCCACACUGGGACUGGGACACGGCCCAGACUCCUAAGGGAGGCAGCAGUAGGGAAACUUCGGGAAUGGACGGAAGGCUGACCGAGCAACGCCGCGGGAGUGAAGAAGGUUUUCGGGUCGGAAAGCUCUGUUGUGAGAGGAGCGGUAUCUGACCAGAAAGGGACGGCUAACUACGUGCCAGCAGCCGCGGUAAUAC
rnacentral:rRNA from 1 species